rnacentral:rRNA from 1 species
AUUGAACGCUGGCGGCAUGCUUUACACAUGCAAGUCGAACGGUAACAGGCCUUCGGGUGCUGACGAGUGGCGAACGGGUGAGUAAUGCAUCGGAACGUGCCCAGAGGUGGGGGAUAACGCAGCGAAAGCUGUGCUAAUACCGCAUGUGAUCUGAGGAUGAAAGCGGGGGACCAGGCAGCAAUGUUUGGCCUCGCGCCUUUGGAGCGGCCGAUGUCAGAUUAGGUAGUUGGUGGGGUAAAGGCCUACCAAGCCGACGAUCUGUAGCUGGUCUGAGAGGACGACCAGCCACACUGGAACUGAGACACGGCCCAGACUCCUACGGGAGGCAGCAGUGGGGAAUUUUGGACAAUGGGCGCAAGCCUGAUCCAGCAAUGCCGCGUGCGGGAAGAAGGCCUUCGGGUUGUAAACCGCUUUUGUACGGAACGAAAAGGCUCUGGCUAAUACCUGGGGCUGCUGACGGUACCGUAAGAAUAAGCACCGGCUAACUACGUG